rnacentral:rRNA from 1 species
AUUGAACGCUGGCGGCAUGCUUUACACAUGCAAGUCGAACGGUAACAGGUUAAGCUGACGAGUGGCGAACGGGUGAGUAAUGCAUCGGAACGUGCCCGAUCGUGGGGGAUAACGCAGCGAAAGCUGCGCUAAUACCGCAUACGAUCUGAGGAUGAAAGCGGGGGACCGUAAGGCCUCGCGCGAUCGGAGCGGCCGAUGUCAGGUUAGGUAGUUUGUGGGGUAAAGGCCCACCAAGCCGACGAUCUGUAGCCGGUCUGAGAGGACGACCAGCCACACUGGGACUGAGACACGGCCCAGACUCCUACGGAAGGCAGCAGUGGGGAAUGUUGGACAAUGGCCGAAAGCCUGAUCCAGCAAUGCCGCGUGCAGGAAGAAGUCCUUCUGGUUGUAAACUGCUUUUGUACGGAGCGAAAAGGUCCUUUCUAAUACAAGGGGCUCAUGACGGUACCGUAAGAAUAAGCACCGGCUAACUACGUGCCAGCAGCCGCAGUAAAAC